AGGGUUUGAUUCUGGCUCAGGACGAACGCUGGCGGCACGCUUAACACAUGCAAGUCGAACGAGCGGAGAGAAGCUUGCUUUUCAAAGCUAGUGGCGGACGGGUGAGUAACACGUGAGCAAUCUACCUUUCAGAGGGGGAUACCUGUUGGAAACGACAGUUAAUACCGCAUAAAAUAAUUUUACCGCAUGAUAAAAUUAUCAAAGAUUUAUCGCUGAAAGAUGAGCUCGCGUCUGAUUAGCUAGUUGGUAAGGUAACGGCCUACCAAGGCAACGAUCAGUAGCCGGACUGAGAGGUUGGACGGCCACAUUGGGACUGAGACACGGCCCAG
rnacentral:rRNA from 1 species